rnacentral:rRNA from 1 species
UACAGAGGGUGCGAGCGUUAAUCGGAAUUACUGGGCGUAAAGCGUGCGUAGACGGUAGCGUAAGUCAGAUGUGAAAGCCCCGGGCUCAACCUGGGAAUUGCAUUUGAGACUGCUCUGCUCGGGUGCGGAAGAGGGAAGCGGAAUUUCCGGUGUAGCGGUGAAAUGCGUAGAUAUGCGGAGGAACACCGAUGGCGAAGGCAAUCCCCUGGGCCUGCACUGACGCUCAUGCACGAAAGCGUGGGGAGCAAACAGG